CCUAUGUAAGUGCGGCUCAUUUGUUUAAAUCACUGUGGAAUUAUUUAGGACACCAAUGACAACCGUUUGUAGUAUGGACUUGGAAAGCUUAUUUUUAAUUGAAGAGAAUAUUUUAAAAAUCUCGAUAAUUUACUUAUAUUGACUGGACAGUACUUUAAACUCCCCCAAUCUGUUGGAUAGCUUAAAUAUACGCAAUAGAUGUGUAGUAUGAG